UAUUCAACGCAACUCAGCCUUGCGAGAAUACGUGUCAAUAAGGAAUUUCCUCACCGUGAGUCACGUACUGUCAGGACCGACUGUUGGCAGCAUUGCUCUCGUUCGUAUCGUGUGUUUAGCAGACGUUUGUUUACUUUGUACUCGUGGUUAACGCGACAUACGGCGCUUUCGUUUCAUCGUACGAUCGGCGUAAAAUAUUGUGUCGGAGAUUUCAGCAAUCUCGACAGUCAGCAAAAUCGAAGAAGAGAGGUGCAGCUCCGACUGUUUACGGGGAAAUUCGCAGAUCAUCUACCACUUCUUCCAUUUCACGGGGAAAGAGCACAACGUCGUCACCAACUCAGAGG